UGUUUUGUUUUGUUUUUUAAAUUGGAGACGGAGUCUUGCUCUGUUGUGCAGUGGCGCAAUCUCGGCUCACGGCAACCUCCACCUCUUGGAUUCAAGCGAUUCUCCUGCCUCAGCCUCCUGAGCAGCUAGGAUUACAGGUGCCCACCACCACACCUGGCUAAUUUUCGUAUUUUUAGUAGAGAUGGGGUUUCACCAUGUUGGCCAGACUGCUCUCAAACUCCUGACCUCAGGUGAUCUGUCCACCUCGGCCUCCCAAAGUGCUGGGAUUACAAGGAUGAACCACCGUGCCUGGCUCUGAUUUUUUUUAAUCAUCUUUAUUUUGAGGCAGGGUCUCACUCUGUCGCCCAGGCUGCAGUGCAGUGGUGCCAUGAAGGCUCACGGCAGCCUCGACCUCCUGGACUCGAGCAAUCUUCCCACCUCAGCCUCCUGAGUAGCUGGAACCACACAACAUGUACCACUGUGCCCAGCUAAUCUUUAUUUUUUGUAGAGACGGAGUCUCACCACGUUGCCCAGGCCUCAGCCUCUUAAAGUGCUAGGAUUACAGGCAUUGAGUGUGAAGUGUUGAACAGCAGCUCAGGGAGGCCAACCAGGGUCCAGCAAACCCCGUCCCUGCUGCCUCCAUUGGUCCAGAGCUGGUACCCGCAGCCAGCAUGACACUCACCCAGUCCCAGACAUUGUGGGUCAACAGAGAGAAAUUCAGAUAGCUAAGAGAAUGGAAGCGGACAAAGGAGGCACAGGAGGAUUCCGUGCCAGAGUCUGGAUUGGUCACCCCCAUUCAGGCUCUGCCUGAGGAAAGGAGAAUGGGGUCCGGGCACAGUCAGCUGGAUGGAGCGUCUGAAGACGGCUUGCACCAGAGCCCUCCAUGGCUGAAGGGAGAAGCUAGGGGCUCCCCAUGUGCCCCUCUCAGCAGAUCUGUCUUAAAGGGGCCAGGUGCAGAGAAAGGCAGAAAUCCUAAUAAUGUUCCCAGCGAUCACUGCCUGUCGCGGAGUGCUGAAGGGCCAAGUGUUGAUCUGAGUCCUCAUCACACGGGACUUCAUUUAGUCUCACAAUAGCCAGGACACCAGACAUGGUCCAAACCCCUGCAGGGCUGGCUGCAGCAACUCCCUGACACUCAGGAAGGCCCAGGCUG
rnacentral:lncRNA from 1 species